AAAGUGGGAAGACAUUUGGUGGUGAGGGAUAGCGAAAGACGACUCUGUGAAGCAAGCAACUUAAAAGAGGGAGGGAGAAACUAAGAGCAGGUGAGAGACGGAGAGAGUGAGAAGGAGAGAAUAUAGGUGUCUCCAGCACUUUCCAUCAACGGUCUCCUGGCUAGGUUCUGCUGCAUAGAGCAGUGCUGAUCUUCCGCUUAUUUCUUCAUCCGAUGCUGGACCCUGCCUCUGCGCUCUGCUCUCUGCUCGCUGCUCGCUCUGCUCACACACUGAUGCCUAGAGAAAGAGGAUGGAAGGAUUCCUCGUAUCUCUAACACACUAGAGCCCUCGCUGUCGCACUCCCACCCUUCGUAUCGCACUCGCUCGUUAUCAAAGGUAAGAGGGGGGUCCAAACCGCCCACUGCACCCACCCU
rnacentral:lncRNA from 8 species